UACGUAGGCAGCAAGCGCUGUUCGGAGUUACUGGGCGUAAAGGGCGCGUAGGCGGCGCAACAAGUCACUUGUGAAAUCUCCGGGCUUAACCCGGAAAGGUCAACUGAUACUGUGCGACUAGAGUGCGGAAGGGGCAACUGGAAUUCUCGGUGUAGCGGUGAAAUGCGUAGAUAUCGAGAGGAACACCUGCGGCGAAGGCGGCAUCCUGGACCAAUAUUGACGCUGAGGAGCGAAAGCCAGGGGAGCAAACGGG
rnacentral:rRNA from 1 species